UACGUAGGGUGCAAGCGUUGUCCGGAAUUAUUGGGCGUAAAGAGCUCGUAGGCGGUUUGUCGCGUCUGUCGUGAAAGCCCACGGCUUAACCGUGGGUCUGCGGUGGAUACGGGCAGACUAGAGGCAGGUAGGGGAGAAUGGAAUUCCCGGUGUAGCAGUGAAAUGCGCAGAUAUCGGGAGGAACACCGGUGGCGAAGGCGGUUCUCUGGGCCUGUACUGACGCUGAGAAGCGAAAGCGUGGGGAGCGAACAGG
rnacentral:rRNA from 1 species